CCUACGGGUGGCAGCAGUGGGGAAUAUUGGGCAAUGGACGCAAGUCUGACCCAGCAACGCCGCGUGCAGGAAGAAGGCUUUCGGGUUGUAAACUUCUUUUAAGGGGGAAGAGCAGAAGACGGUACCCCUUGAAUAAGCCACGGCGAACUACGUGCCAGCGGCCGCGGUAAUACGUAGGUGGCAAGCGUUGUCCGGAUGUACUGGGUGUAAAGGGCGGGCAGCGGGAGAGACAAGUCAGAUGUGAAAUCCCCGUGCUCAACCCGUGAACUGCAGUUGAAACUGCGUGACUUGAGUGAUGGAGAGGCAGGCGGAAUGCCCAGUGUAGCGGUGAAAUGCGUAGAUAUUGGGAGGAACACCAGUGGCGAAGGCGGCCUGCUGGACAUUAACUGACGCUGAGGCGCGAAAGCGUGGGGAGCAAACAGGAUUAGAUACCCGAGUAGUC
rnacentral:rRNA from 1 species